AUUAAACUGCUUGGGAAACUGAUAGUCUAGAGUGAGGGAGAGGCAGAUGGAAUUGGUGGUGUAGGGGUAAAAUCCGUAGAUAUCACCAAGAAUACCCAUUGCGAAGGCGAUCUGCUGGAACUCAACUGACGCUAAGGCGCGAAAGCGUGGGGAGCAAACAGGAUUAGAUACCCUGGUAGUCCACGCCCUAAACGAUGUACACUAGUUGUUGGGGUGCUAGUCAUCUCAGUAAUGCAGCUAACGCAUUAAGUGUACCGCCUGGGGAGUACGGUCGCAAGAUUAAAACUCAAAGGAAUAGACGGGGACCCGCACAAGCGGUGGAGCAUGUGGUUUAAUUCGAAGAUACGCGAAGAACCUUACCUGGGCUUGAUAUCCUAAGAACCUUUUAGAGAUAAGAGGGUGCUAGCUUGCUAGAACUUAGAGACAGGUGCUGCACGGCUGUCGUCAGCUCGUGUCGUGAGAUGUUGGGUUAAGUCCCGCAACGAGCGCAACCCACGUAUUUAGUUGCUAACGGUUCGGCCGAGCACUCUAAAUAGACUGCCUUCGUAAGGAGGAGGAAGGUGUGGACGACGUCAAGUCAUCAUGGCCCUUAUGCCCAGGGCGACACACGUGCUACAAUGGCAUAUACAAUGAGACGCAAUACCGCGAGGUGGAGCAAAUCUAUAAAAUAUGUCCCAGUUCGGAUUGUUCUCUGCAACUCGAGAGCAUGAAGCCGGAAUCGCUAGUAAUCGUAGAUCAGCCAUGCUACGGUGAAUACGUUCCCGGGUCUUGUACUCACCGCCCGUCACACCAUGGGAGUUGAUUUCACUCGAAGCCGGAAUACUAA
rnacentral:rRNA from 1 species